rnacentral:rRNA from 1 species
GCUGGCGGCACGCCUAACACAUGCAAGUCGAACGCAGUAGCAAUACUGAGUGGCAAACGGGUGAGUAUAAUGUGGGAAUCUGCCUUUUGGUUCGGAAUAACACGAGGAAACUUGUGCUAAUACCGGAUAAGCCCUUACGGGGAAAGUUUUAAUGCCAAAAGAUGAGCCCGCACUUGAUUAGCUAGUUGGUAAGGUAAUGGCUUACCAAGGCAACGAUCAAUAGCUGUUCUUAGAGGAAGACCAGCCACAUUGGGACUGAGACACGGCCCAAACUCCUACGGGAGGCAGCAGUGGGGAAUCUUGCACAAUGGGGGAAACCCUGAUGCAGCGAUGCCGCGUGAGUGAAGAAGGCCCUUGGGUUGUAAAACUCUUUCGUCGGGGAAGAAAAUGACUGUACCCGAAUAAGAAGGUCCGGCUAACUUCGUGCCAGCAGCCGCGGUAAUACGAAGGGACCUAGCGUAGUUCGGAAUUACUGGGCUUAAAGAGUUCGUAGGUGGUUAAAAA